rnacentral:antisense_RNA from 1 species
GAAGCUCAGCACGCUGCCGAAAUCUCAGUGUAUUUUUUCUUUUUCUUUUCUUUUCUUUUUUUCUUUUUUUUUUUUUGCAUGUGAGAGAAAGAACAACAAAUUGCAGUUUUAUCCAUUUGUAUUAUUUCUUUAGAAAACUCAACACUCUUUUUGUUGGAGGUGGGGAAAUGAGAAGGUGAUGUUUUGUUUUGCUUUUUUUUCCUAUUUUUUUUUUUAAAGGAGAAGAUGACAGUGUUCUCCUUGAGGAAGUUUGACUUUUGAAACAUACCACAUGCUUAAAGCACAUUUGAGCUCCUGCAUGAACAGUAAGCUAGCAGAUGGUAGAAAUAUUCGUUAUGAAUUCAAAAAAUCUUUACUGCGGACCUACAAUGUGCCAAGCAUGUCUCCUGACACUGGGGAUAAGCAGUGAACAACAACAAAAAGACAGACUUCUUCCACCCCGAGGCUUAUGUUCUAGGUCUUUGUGGGAAGAAACAAAUCACAAAAGCAAUUAAGAGAGCUCAAAUAAUGGGGUUUAUGCCAGUUACAUUCAAGGAUCCUGCGUAUUUCAGGGACCCUAAAGUUUAUAACAUCAGAUAUAGGGAAUAAAUUCUAUCACAUUACCACCAGUAAACUUAUUUUAUAAGAUGGGUCUCACCAUGUUGCCCAGGCUGGUCUCUAACUCCU